GGAGUUUGGGCCGUGUCUCAGUCCCAAUGUGGCCGUCCGACCUCUCAGUCCGGCUACAGAUCGUUGCUUUGGUGGGCCGUUACCCCGCCAACUGGCUAAUCUGACGCGGGCCCAUCUCAUACCACCGGAGUUUUUCACACUGUGUCAUGCGACACUGUGCGCUUAUGCGGUAUUAACAGUCGUUUCCAGCUGUUAUCCCCCUGUGAAGGACAGGUUGCUCACGCGUUACUCACCCGUCCGCCGCUAAAACAUACAUCUUCAAUUCCGUCCGAAAACUUCCUAUCAGUCGUAUGUCUCCGCUCGACUUGCAUGUGUUAGGCACGCCGCCAGCGUUCGUCCUGAGCCACUGAUCAAACUCU
rnacentral:rRNA from 1 species